rnacentral:rRNA from 1 species
UACAGAGGGGGCAAGCGUUAUUCGGAAUUAUUGGGCGUAAAGGGCGCGUAGGCGGCUUGGCAAGUGGAAGGUGAAAUCCCUCGGCUUAACCGAGGAACUGCCUUCCAGACUGCUUUGCUUGAGGCUGGGAGAGGCGAGUGGAAUUCCCAGUGUAGCGGUGAAAUGCGUAGAUAUUGGGAGGAACACCAGUGGCGAAGGCGGCACUCUGGGCCGUGACUGACGCUGAGGCACGAAAGCGUGGGGAGCAAACAGG